GACCAGCUGUCUUCUCGUUGUAGCGCUUCCUCAGAGCCUCGUAGUCACUCUUCAUGGCCUCCAACUUGUCCACAGCUGUGUCAUACAGCUUGUUGAGGACGUCAGAUGACCCCUCUCUCAUCACCUGGAAAUGACAUCAUUCAGCUGUAUAAGCAUGAAUAUAGCUGGGAUUAGUUCCACGGGUACCUGCUGGUGCAGCAUCCUCAUGUCAGCCACCUCUCUCUGGUCAUCGUCGUGCAGCCUCCUCAGCUCCUCGCAGGCCUGCUUAACGUGGUUGUGCUCCCUCACCAGCUGGAUGUUGUCCUGUCUCACUGCCUCCAGCUCAUCUUUUAACUGUGCGUGCUCACUCGCCAUACGGCUGUGCAGCGUACUGAGGAGAUACCAAGGCAAAUAAUGUUCUUUUCUGACAUUUCUACACCUGACACCUGAACACCACCGUGAGCGCCACACUCACCUAAGCUGCUGAGAGAGCUGCUGCUUUCGGAGUCCGACGGCAUGGUGGACAAGAUGCUGUAAGUGGACCCUGUGAGGCGAACAAAAACAUUAAAGUCAGCUGUGCGUGUACUCGACCAUGUCUGCAUUAUAGUAAGAUGAUUAUCUUCAGCAUUGUAUGGUACAUCAAGGCUCUGUGGCUUAGGUUACAUUCAGGGGCAUUUACUGAAAAAAGGCCAGCUGGAGGCAUAAUAAGGUGGGACUUUCCCCAACUUGGGAUGACGGGCCUGUGGGCUGACAGCAGAGUGUGGCUAAUUAUCAGUUGGGCAGGGAGCUUGAAUACUGACUAGCCAGGGCCCCAAAGAGGCUGCAGCCUCAGAGCUUCUCCUUUUAUCUCCUCUGACAACAUCACACAGUUCCCCCCUGUGAAAGCCCCUUCUUUUAUAGCCUACAGUGAUUCAUAAUUAACUGUACAGAAAGGAAGCCUCAGUACAACACUGUAAGUAUUACGGAGAAGAUUGUGUUAUUUGAAAAAGCAACGUUAAAGUAAUUGAUGAUUGUUUUCAUCAUUAGUAGACUACUGAUUACUUUUUUUGUAUUUAAUUAAAGCCACUAUGUAGAGAAUUUUAAUGUGUUUAUAGCAUUUUUUAUGUCAGUCUGGGGCAUAUGUUCUUGAGAAGGUAAAGAAAUGUAAUAAUCAUGGUAAAAGCUGGGGCAGUCCGUAGGUAGAUUGUACUAGUGGACAGCAAAUUUUGGAAAUAGCUACAACGAUAUAUAUCAAUUAGAAA